UGGGGAAUUUUGGACAAUGGGCGCAAGCCUGAUCCAGCCAUUCCGCGUGCAGGAUGAAGGCCUUCGGGUUGUAAACUGCUUUUGUACGGAACGAAAAGGCUCCUUCUAAUACAGGGGGCUCAUGACGGUACCGUAAGAAUAAGCACCGGCUAACUACGUG
rnacentral:rRNA from 1 species